ensembl:misc_RNA
AUACUGGAUUGAUGGCCUUCAAUCCUCGAUUAUCCACAGACCAGGUUCAGCAUGAACAGGAGUAAUGCAAACUUCCACACACUGCCCCACUUAUGGGCCUCAACCCUAAUCUAGAAUACCGCCAGGCGGAGACAGUACUUCAGCCUCCGUACCUAGCAAUCCUUUGGCCUCG